rnacentral:rRNA from 1 species
ACGGAGGGUGCGAGCGUUGUCCGGAAUCACUGGGCGUAAAGGGCGCGUAGGCGGCGGGGUAAGCGUGCGGUGAAAGCUCGGGGCUCAACCCCGAGUCGGCCGUGCGAACUGCUUCGCUCGAGCACUGUAGAGGCAGGUGGAAUUCCGGGUGUAGCGGUGGAAUGCGUAGAGAUCCGGAAGAACACCAGUGGCGAAGGCGGCCUGCUGGGCGGUGGCUG